rnacentral:rRNA from 1 species
UACGAAGGGUGCAAACGUUGCUCGGAAUUAUUGGGCGUAAAGCGCACGUAGGCGGCUUAGCAAGUCGGAAGUGAAAUCCCUCGGCUCAACCAAGGAAGUGCUUUCGAAACUGCUGAGCUUGAGUACUUAAGAGGAUCGCGGAAUUCCCGGUGUAGAGGUGAAAUUCGCAGAUAUCGGGAAGAACACCCGUGGCGAAGGCGGUUCUCUGGGACGGUACUGACGCUGAGACGCGAAAGCGUGGGGAGCGAACAGG